GGCAGUGGUCGCUUGAUGGUUAAGGCUCCGGAUUACUGAUCAGGAGGUUGGGGGUUCAAGCCCCAGCACUGCCA